CUCAAUAAGUGCUUCUCUGACCCCAAAGUUCAAUUUCCAGUGUACAACUUACAUCUGUUGAUUUCAUCAUGGAAAAUAACUUUUGUUUAUUUUGACAGAAAAGUAACAUCAGGAGAUUGCUGUUUAACUGGCCACAGUUUCCAUCAACAAAUUCCAAACAAACUGAAAAAAAAGGGUAUGUUACAGGUUGGCUAUCUGAACUUCAUUUCCUGGGUAACGAAAUGUGGACCUGUUUGUGUUGGCAGAGACUCUGCGUAAGGUGAACAUCUGACUG
ensembl:lncRNA